rnacentral:rRNA from 1 species
CCGGCGCACGGGUGAGUAACGCGUAUGCAACUUACCUAUCAGAGGGGGAUAACCCGGCGAAAGUCGGACUAAUACCGCAUGAAGCAGGGAUCCCGCAUGGGAAUAUUUGCUAACGAUUCAUCGCUGAUAGAUAGGCAUGCGUUCCAUUAGGCAGUUGGCGGGGUAACGGCCCACCAAACCGACGAUGGAUAGGGGUUCUGAGAGGAAGGUCCCCCACAUUGGUACUGAGACACGGUCCAA